AGGGUUGUAGCUCAGUGAUAAAGCACUUGCCUCGCAUGCAUGAGGCCCUGGGUUUGAUCCUCAGCACCACAU
rnacentral:tRNA from 1 species